CUUAGUGGCGGACGGGUGGAGUAACGACGUGGGUAACCGUGCCAUAUACAGGGGAGUAACACUUAGAAAUAGGUGGCUAAUACCGCAUAAGCGCACAGAGCUGCAUGGCUCAGUGUGAAAAACUCCGGUGGUAUAUGAUGGACCCGCGUCUGAUUAGCUAGUUGGUGAGGUAACGGCCCACCAAGGCGACGAUCAGUAGCCGGCCUGAGAGGGUGACCGGCCACAUUGGGACUGAGACACGGCCCAAACUCCUACGGGAGGCAGCAGUGGGGAAUAUUGGGCAAUGGGGGAAACCCUGACCCAGCAACGCCGCGUGGAGGAAGAAGGUUUUCGGAUCGUAAACUCCUGUCCUCAGGGAAGAGCAGAAGACGGUACCUGAGGAGGAAGCCCCGGCUAACUACGUG
rnacentral:rRNA from 1 species